UCUCACAAUCACUCACAGCCUUCUUCUUCUCCAUAUACAACAACGACGUUUAACAACGACCGUCGCGUUCUUCACCACCACCACCGUCACGCUCUUCACCACCAUCACCGUCACGCUCUUCACCACCAUCACCGGUAGCGUCUCUCUCUCUCUCUCUCCUUCUCUCUUCUGAGCGUUGAAUCUGAGUUUAUUUAUUUUGGUAAAGGAAGGUGGAGGAGGCAGAGGAGAUUGAUGAAGGAUGAGGUAGCAGAAGCGGUGGCUCGUGAGCUGAGCCGGCUUGAAGAUUGAAGAUAAGAAGCUACGGUGAGGAAGCAUAAGAAGCGUGACGGCGGAGGAGGCG
rnacentral:lncRNA from 1 species